GGGGGUUUGUGGGUGUUUAUUUUGUUUUUUAACCUUUUAUUUCGAGGUCAGUCAGUUAAUAAUAAGAAACAAAUUCUUAUUUACAAUGACGGCCUAGGAACAGUGGGUUUAACUGCCUGUUCAGAACGACGCUCGGGGAUUUGAUCUUCGCAACCUUUCGGUUUCUGUCCCAACGCUCUAACCACUGGCCCGUGGUAUAUGGGCCAUAUAACCACACCCCCUCUGGCCUUAUUGGCCUAGACCACACCCCCUCUGGCCUUAUUGGCCAUAAUACCACACCCCUCUGGCCUAUGGCCAUAUACCACACCCCUCGGCCCCUUAUUGGCCAUAUACCACACCCCCUCUCCUUAUUGGCCAUAUACCACACCCCCUCUGCCUUAUGCCAUACACACCCUUGGCCUUAUGGCCAUAUACCACCCCUCUGGCCUUAUUGGCCAUAGACCACACCCCCUCUGGCCUUAUUGGCCAUAUACCACACCCCUCUGGCCUUAUUGCCAUAUACCACCCCCCUCUGGCCUUUGGCAUAUACCAACCCCCGCUGCUAUUGCUUAAACUACCACUUUAAUAAGACAUUAGGAGAAACCAUCCAAUUAUACAGAACUUGGUCUGCGUCUCCAAUGUUAACCCAUUCCCUAUAUAGUGCCUGCUGUGUGACCAGAGCUCUAUGGGGCUUUUCUACGGACCCUGUUCAAAGUAUUCACUAUAAUAUAGGGAAUAGUGAGCCUUUUGAGACACACACACUUAAGACAUGGUUUGUCUGGCUCACAGAUGGCUGCCGUUGCUAUGAACUGCGGGCUACGCGGGCAUCCUUCCGUUGCUAUGAUACUGGGGCUACGCUGGCAUCCAUCCUGUUGCUAUGAUACUGGGGUCUACACUGGCAUCCAUCCUGUUGCUAUGAAACUGUGGGCUACACUGGCAUCCAUCCUGUUUGCUAUGAUACGUGGGCUACACUGGCAUUAUAUUCCCUUUACAGUGGGCCCCAUAGGGAGCCAUUGGGGAGGCAGGCCAAGUAUCUCCUUAUUUAUGGCACUUGGCACCCUAUUCUACAUAGUGCACUACUUUUGA
rnacentral:lncRNA from 1 species